rnacentral:rRNA from 1 species
UACGUAGGGUGCAAGCGUUAAUCGGAAUUACUGGGCGUAAAGCGUGCGCAGGCGGUUUUGUAAGUUUGUCGUGAAAUCCCCGGGCUCAACCUGGGAAUGGCGAUGAAGACUGCAAGGCUAGAAUCUGGCAGAAGGGGGUAGAAUUCCACGUGUAGCAGUGAAAUGCGUAGAGAUGGGGGAGAACACUCGUGGCGAAGGCGGCCAGCUAGACCAGUUCUGACACUGAGGCGCGACAGCGUGGGGAGCAAACAAG